rnacentral:misc_RNA from 1 species
UUCUGAAGUUCUUACUUCCAAUCACCUAUUAUAAAGAGUGAUCAAUCAUUAUUGGUACUUUUUAUAAUAUGUGAUUUUUUCUUUAUUGCAAAACGCAUAUUAAUUUUUGAAACAUUGGAGGAUCCAUCCCUAUGAAAACAGGUACAGUGAAGUGGUUUAACGCGGAAAAAGGUUUUGGUUUUAUUGAGGUUGAAGGCGAAGAUGAUGUAUUUGUACAUUUCAGCGCCAUCAAUGAAGAAGGCUUCAAAUCUCUAGAAGAAGGUCAGGCCGUAGAGUUUGAAGUGACUGAAGGAAAUCGCGGACCACAAGCUGCAAACGUCACGAAACUAUAAUAAAAAAUAGAAAGAGACUGGCUUUAGAAGGUCAGUCUCUUUU